CUCGUAGGCGGUUCGUCGCGUCCGGUGUGAAAGUCCAUCGCUUAACGGUGGAUCCGCGCCGGGUACGGGCGGGCUUGAGUGUGGUAUGGGAGACUGGAAUUCCCGGUGUAACGGUGGAAUGUGUAGAUACCGGGAAGAACACCAAUGGCGAAGGCAGGUCUCUGGGCCGUUACUGACGCUGAGGAGCGAAAGCGUGGGGAGCGAACA
rnacentral:rRNA from 1 species